rnacentral:rRNA from 1 species
AUGGAUAUACACCUGCAGGUGUUGUGCUGGAAUGUGAGGGGCCUCAACAAUCCAGCCAAAAGGAAGGCCGUUCGGGAGUUUGUGGAAACGGUUAAGGUGAACCUAGUUUGCUUUCAGGAAACAAAAAUGGAUGUAAGGGACCAAUAUGUUGUAAUGCAAUGCUUGGGGCCAUCGUUUUAUGGUUUCGCGUAUGUGCCGGCGGUGGAUACUUGUGGUGGUAUUCUCUUGGCGUGGGAUAGCUCGGUGCUACAGGUGGAUAACAUCAUGCUCAAUACUAGCUUUCUCACAGGCAGGGUGCAUGCCAAGCUGGGGGACCCUUGGUGGAUCACUGUGGUGUAUGGGCCACAAGGAGAUGAGAGGAAAACUCAGUUCUUACAUGAGAUCAAGGAUUGGCGUGUGGGGUGUCCGGGACCUUGGAUGUUACUUGGUGAUUUCAACAUGAUCAAUAGGGCCACGGACAAAAACAACUCCAACGUGCACAGAAGGAUGAUGGGUCGUUUUCGAGACUUUGUGGAUGAUCAUGAGCUAAAAGAGAUGUACAUGCAGGUGUGA